CUGGUUGAUCCUGCCAGUAGUCAUAUGCUUGUCUCAAAGAUUAAGCCAUGCAUGUCUAAGUACAAGCCUCAGUAAGGUGAAACCGCGAAUGGCUCAUUAAAUCACACCUAAUCUACUGGAAAGUUACAAGUUACUUGGAUAACUGAGGUAAUUCUUGAGCUAAUACAUGCGAAAAAUCUCGACUCACGGAGAGAUGCUUUUAUUAGAUCAAAACCAAACGGCUUCGGCCGUAACAUUGGUGACUCUGAAUAACUUUGGGCUGAUCGUAUGGCCUUGUGCCGACGACGUUUCCUUCGAAGGG
rnacentral:rRNA from 1 species